GAUGAACGCUGGCGGCGUGCCUAAUACAUGCAAGUCGAGCGAACGGACGAGAAGCUUGCUUCUCUGAUGUUAGCGGCGGACGGGUGAGUAACACGUGGAUAACCUACCUAUAAGACUGGGAUAACUUCGGGAAACCGGAGCUAAUACCGGAUAAUAUUUUGAACCGCAUGGUUCAAAAGUAAAAGACGGUCUUGCUGUCACUUAUAGAUGGAUCCGCGCUGCAUUAGCUAGUUGGUAAGGUAACGGCUUACCAAGGCAACGAUGCAUAGCCGACCUGAGAAGGUGAUCGGCCACACUGGAACUGAGACACGGUCCAGACUCCUACGGGAGGCAGCAGUAGGGAAUCUUCCGCAAUGGGCGAAAGCCUGACGGAGCAACGCCGCGUGAGUGAUGAAGGUCUUCGGAUCGUAAAACUCUGUUAUUAGGGAAGAACAUAUGUGUAAGUAACUGUGCACAUCUUGACGGUACCUAAUCAGAAAGCCACGGCUAACUACGUG
rnacentral:rRNA from 1 species